UUGAACGCUGGCGGCAGGCCUAACACAUGCAAGUCGAACGGUAACAGGAAGAAGCUUGCUUCUUUGCUGACGAGUGGCGGACGGGUGAGUAAUGUCUGGGAAACUGCCUGAUGGAGGGGGAUAACUACUGGAAACGGUAGCUAAUACCGCAUAACGUCGCAAGACCAAAGAGGGGGACCUUCGGGCCUCUUGCCAUCGGAUGUGCCCAGAUGGGAUUAGCUAGUAGGUGGGGUAACGGCUCACCUAGGCGACGAUCCCUAGCUGGUCUGAGAGGAUGACCAGCCACACUGGAACUGAGACACGGUCCAGACUCCUACGGGAGGCAGCAGUGGGGAAUAUUGCACAAUGGGCGCAAGCCUGAUGCAGCCAUGCCGCGUGUAUGAAGAAGGCCUUCGGGUUGUAAAGUACUUUCAGCAGGGAGGAAGGGAGUAAAGUUAAUACCUUUGCUCAUUGACGUUACCCGCAGAAGAAGCACCGGCUAACUCCGUG
rnacentral:rRNA from 1 species